rnacentral:ncRNA from 1 species
ACAUCUUAGUUUACAGUUGAGAAUGUUCUGGGGUCUGCCGACUCUAGAGGUUGACUUUAAACUAGACGCCGAUAAACUUCGGAACAUGCGAACUGCAAAUUAACACGGCCCAGACUCUUACUGGAGGCAGCAGUGGCGAAUUUUGCGCAAUGGGCGAAAGCCUGACGGAUCAAUGCCGCGUGGAGGUAGAAGGCUCAAGGGUCGUAAACUCCUAUUCUCAUAGAAGAUGCAAUGACGGUAUCUGAGGAAUAAGCAUCGGCUAACUCUGUGCCACCAGCCGAUAGACAAAGCA